rnacentral:rRNA from 1 species
GACGAACGCUGGCGGCGUGCUUAACACAUGCAAGUCGAACGGUGAAGCGCCUUCCUUUUUGGUGGGUGUGGAUGAGUGGCGAACGGGUGAGUAACACGUGAGUAACCUGCCCCCUUCUUCUGGAUAACCGCAUGAAAGUGUGGCUAAUACGGGAUAUUCUGGGUCUGUCGCAUGAUGGGUCUGGGAAAGAUAUUGUUUCGGUGGGGGAUGGGCUCGCGGCCUAUCAGCUUGUUGGUGGGGUGAUGGCCUACCAAGGCGGUGACGGGUAGCCGGCCUGAGAGGGUGGACGGUCACACUGGGACUGAGACACGGCCCAGACUCCUACGGGAGGCAGCAGUGAGGAAUAUUGCACAAUGCACGCAAGCCUGAUGCAGCGACGCCGCGUGAGGGAUGGAGGCCUUCGGGUUGUGAACCUCUUUCGCCAGUGAAGCAGGCCUGCCUAGUUUGUGGGUGGGUUGACGGUAGCUGGAUAAGAAGCGCCGGCUAACUACGUG